rnacentral:rRNA from 1 species
UACGUAGGUGGCGAGCGUUAUCCGGAAUGAUUGGGCGUAAAGGGUGCGCAGGCGGUCCUGCAAGUCUGGAGUGAAACGUAUGAGCUCAACUCAUGCAUGGCUCUGGAAACUGGAGGACUGGAGAGCAGGAGAGGGCGGUGGAACUCCAUGUGUAGCGGUAAAAUGCGUAGAUAUAUGGAAGAACACCAGUGGCGAAGGCGGCCUGCUGGACAAUAACUGACGCUGAGGCGCGAAAGCGUGGGGAGCAAACAGG